rnacentral:rRNA from 1 species
UACUUAGGCGGGAGGAAGAACUAACUAGGAUUCCCUCAGUAGCUGCGAGCGAACAGGGAAGAGCCCAGCACCGAAUCCCGCGGCCGAUACCGGGCGCCGGGAAAUGUGGUGUUAGGGAGGAUCCGUUUAUCCCGAGGUCGUGCGGUGCGUCCAAGUCCUUCUUGAACGGGGCCACAGCCCAUAGAGGGUGCCAGGCCCGUAGUGACCGCUGCCGAUCGCGGGAGGAUCUCUCCUCAGAGUCGGGUUGCUUGAGAGUGCAGCCCUAAGUGGGUGGUAAACUCCAUCUAAGGCUAAAUAUGACCACGAGACCGAUAGCGAACAAGUACCGUGAGGGAAAGUUGAAAAGCACUUUGAAGAGAGAGUUCAAGAGUACGUGAAACCGUUCAGGGGUAAACCUGAGAAACCCGAAAGGUCGAAAGGGGAAAUUCAUUCGCGUUUCGGCAGUCGGCGUCGGAUGGUCGAGUGACGGAUGGCGUACGCGUCGUCCGCGCCUUCCUUCCUUCGAACCGGCGUCGAACGCGUGCACUUUUCCCCUAGUAGGACGUCGCGAUCCGUUGGGUGUCGGUCUAAGGCCCGUGGUGGAGCCCGCGCGGAAGUUUCGGCUUCCGCUCGGACCCACGGUGUCCCGGCCGACUCGCUCGACGGUAUACAGAUGGCGCGGGGCCGCUACUCAGUUAGCGUUCGGCCUGCGGCAAGCGCGUUCGGCGUUUGACGGCGAUCGGACCUGGUGCCGGUCCUGUCCCCGAACGACUGUUG